UGGACCUAAUCGACACCCAAGGCCCCAGUCAGGUCUGAUAGUCUAUCUUCCUGUGCUGUCAUAAAUCUUGGAGCAUAGUCUAUCCGGCCUGAAAGUGACCUUUGGCUAUCAGCUGUCAUCUA
rnacentral:precursor_RNA from 15 species